AACAAAGAAUCUGCUUUCCCUUUGUGUUGUUAACUGAGUUAGUUCUUCCAACUUUCUGCUGCUGACAAUGGUAACACUGGGCUUCGCUGAAUGCUGGGUGGACAGUAGAUGGCUACUUAACAGAGAUGCACGACUGGUCAACAUAUAGAAAAAUAAAGGACUAUGGAAAGCUCAGCCCUAAAUGGAACAUCUGUGUCACGCCCUGUGCUCCCAAGACUUAUGACUCAUCGUGGAAGAAGGGGCAGAAUGACUGAGAGCCAGAGGUAGUGGACAUCUGGCAAAACGUUGUUCUCCAGAUAUGACAAGGCUGUAACACACAGGCUUCAGCAGCUGUCAAAUGGUGAUCAUGUGGCCCACGGUGAGAAAACCUCCUGGUAUAACUAGUGGGAACUGCUCGGCCACCUUCCCUUCCCCCAGCUGUGUGAUGCAAUGGUGCAAUUCUGUCUCCUCAAAACCAGACAUCCUCUCUCACUGGAGGAUUCCAGGGGUGGCUUAUCACUGCAGAGCACUCUGUAGACAUUCUCCAGACGACCACCAUGUGCCAGGCUUAGCACAUUACUAAAGCAACAAGCAUCCCAGCAGGACACCCACUUUGCAAGGAAGACACUGCCAUGCCAGGGAAGAAUCCAGGAAGAAUUAUAACACUGGGGCUUCUGAGAAAGCUGAUUAAGUGGCCUGACUGGAAAGUGACUGGCAUCCUCAGGGCAGAGAACCUCCAAGGAGCUGGGAGGUGAGAGCUGUAGGGAUGACUCAGGCAGGAAUCUGGAGAGAGCAGGGUGGGGCACGUAAUUCACUGCCUAAAACCCAAAGCCAGUUCCCCACCUUCCAGCGGUACAAUCGGUCCCUGAUACUUCAAGUUGAGAACGAAGCAGGAAAGGAGGAAGCCCAGGAAUCAGAAAGACGGAAUGACUUUGCAUUUAGCAUUGAUUCGAAAAUGCUAAAUUACCUCUAAAUUACCUCUUCACAUGCCUGAUCUAAAAUUGGAAUCCACCCUCUAAUCUUGAGCAUUUUACAGUUUUUGUCCACCACACCCCCACCCCUCGCCCCCAUCUACCCUCCCGGCAUGCAUGUGACCCUAAGGCACGCGCGCGGCUCACUUGUCAAUGCCUGCGUGCGCAAACUUGUCCACAGCUACUGUCAUUGUCAUUUCUUCCUCAGGAUUUUGAGUUUUGUUUCUACCCCACAUGUCGGGUUUAAUGGCCGUGUAAAAUGUCUUCAGCAAGAUCAUCUUGGAGGGUUCGCACUGACAGGAAAACUUACAGUGUGUUCAGGUAGGCGAGGGACCCAGAGCUCGUACCGUCCUGAUUGUUAUGUGUGAAAUGAAUAGUCUUUCUGAGAAAAAGGUUUACUAUUACAUAGCGGCCUCACAAAAAACAAAUCAAGUAUUUUACAGCUUUGUUAGUCCAGGCAAGGGCACCCUAGCAAUGCCCGGGCCAUUUGUUAGAAUGACAGAAUCUCGGGUUGUAUGGAUACCCACUGACUCUGGUUAUACUGAGGUGACUUCUCCAUCCAACUGUCAAAACUACCACCUCUACCUCGGUCUUAUUACAGCGCUUUCUUCUCUUUUAUUGUCUGUGAACUAAUGAUGGAACUUAAAUAUAAAGGGCACGUGGGACUCAAUUAGGCAUGGCCGGUGACAUCUCUGCAGGCACAAUGUGAAAUAAAACCACCUUCUUCAGUGAGGGGGGGCUGGCAGCCAGGAAGAUGGGUAGUCUCCUAGGAGGACCAUGAACACCAAUAAAACCAUGAAUCACCCGAGACCUUGGUGCUGUGACACAGCUGGCUGAGAGGAGCCCCACCUGCGGACUGUUGUAGUGGGGAUUUGGGAGUUAGUUACAUGUGAUAUCUACUAAUAAUGAUACUCAACGUAGUCCCUCUUGUGGAGGGACCUGGGCACGGAACCCAUGGCUUUGCGUAUGCUGGGUUGGCGUUGUGUCAAUGAGCUACAGCCUCAGCCUUCAAUGAAUUCUGUAGUCAACAUUUGAUUUUUUUUUUUCCUUAGCUCCUCAUGCUGAUCCCUUACUAUUGAGAAGCACAACAAACCCUGUAGGGAAACACUGUGAACUAAGACCCGAUGUUUGGGUGGUAAUGGCUUUUUACUUAUAGAGAUGACAUUUACCAGACUAACCUGGUUGGCAAGUAGCCGAGUUGGGGACCGGACUCUCCAGAUUCUGGCUUUGCUUUGGCAAUUCUAAGUGGGAAGAUAGUGUUGGUGACAUUUUAUGCAAGAGAAUUGGGGGUCCAGUAUGCUCAAGAGACUCAGAUUCUGAGCUGUCCUGUGAGCCAAUUAAUUGCCUCUUCAUCUAAGCCAGUUCUCAACUGCUGACACCCUUUAAUACAGUACCUCAGGUUAUGGUAAACCCCCAACCGUAAAAUUAUUUUCAUGGAUACAUUAUAACUUUAAUUUCGCUUCUGUGUGAAUCGAAUAUUUUUUGAAGACGGAAGUUUGCCAAAGGAGUCUCGACCCACAGGUUGAAAAUCAUGAUCUAAUUCAUCUCUUGUCCUUCUGCCCCCAGCUCCUCAGUAAAAGUCGACAUGCUCAUUUAUGAUUUU